UUUUUUGUGGCAUUGUACAAACCACUUAAUCUCUGCUUUUUGUUUCCUUACCUAUAAAAGUUACCAACCUCGCGGUGGUAAAUGACAAAGCUGUUUGUCGAGUGCUCUGAAAUCCUCUCAUGAAAGGUUUAGUACAGAAUUAACUUUAUCUGAGUCCAGGGCUCAAAAAAAUCUUAUCACUGGCAAAUAGGAAGACAAAUUCCUAGCCUUAACGGCUGUUAAUACUCUGAUUUACUUUCGAUGGUUGUAUGUUUGCAGAAUCUGUAAAAGUACUCAACUGCCGCUCCAUUUUGCGGUGCAUCUCUAGUGUGAAACUGACAUUUAAAAAUGUUUCAGUGACGGUAAUUCCAAACUUUGUGGGCGAACAAACUCUUAAAUUGACACUGUUUAGGAAAACAUCAACAAAGGUAGACAUUGAUCCUUCCCUAUAAGUUACUCACUCUCCUCAAACUUCUGUUUCUGGCAUUAAUGAGCAGACCUCUUUCCUUGCUGAAUCCUUUUUCCCACUUGCAUCAGUGAGGGGACUGGAGAGUUGAAGAGAUGGUAUGUUUAUUUCUUCUAGGGGCUAGGGAAAGUGAAACUUAAUUUACAAAAAGCCAGAGCCUUGAUCAGAACAUGGCUCUUUCCUCUUGAUUGGGGAAAUUCAAGUAAGUGGUGCAGUUUGGACUGCUUGCCAGGCUUUUGCCAAGGCAUCUUGCUGGUAUUGCUCACUUCUCUUCAUCUUUCAUGUAAUCUGGCUUAAUAGAUGUAAUUCUCUAGCUAUAUUAAAUGUAUUACAAAAAUUGUCAUGCCCUGGUAGAGUUCAGUUACUGUAAUGAGCAGUUAUGCUCUUGGCAAUUGAACAACUCCUAAUGUUUUGGAUAAUUCAGCUGCUGCUUAUGUCAAUAAAUAUCUUGACUUGUCAUCUACUGUGUACUGGACCAGUUGUAAUUCAAAAGAUGUUACAUGUAAGCAUUGUGUGAGGUCUACUGCAUAUACAUAAUUUACACUCACAUUAUUUUCCUAAUUCUUUCCUCCAAGAAUGGCAGCUGUGCUAAUGAAGGAAACCAUUGCAAUGGGCAUUAAUGCAACAAGUCAUUUGCCUCUACUUGAAACAAUGUUCUUAUAAAUAGUGUCUUGAUGAUCCAGCUGAUAUAUUCAUCACUCCUUGUAGUCCUGGUUGUCCCAGAAUGCACUGGUAUGCUUAGUAACUGUCCUAAUGUUGCAGGGAACCAAAGUCACUUGCUGAUCAAGUGCAGAUCAUUUCAUGUGUGGGGAGUGAAUUAGCAGAUGGCCAUGUAGCUGUAAUGUUUUUGUUCCCACAGUUGUAUCAGCAGUUCAGUUUGGUCUGAAAGCUUUGUCCUAUGUGUUAAUUAAUUCAGUAAGUCAUACCAUUUGCACAUUCCAGCUACAAUUAAUGCAAGAGCUGUGCAUGUCUUGGGUCACACUCAAUGUUCCCACCUAGUGGCUUUUGCCAUCAUCUCUUCUGGUGUGAAAAGGGUGCUGAAGAGCAUUCAGCUUCUUGAAGUCCAGCCUAGGCCUAAACGUAUUCAGUUACCACUUAAGGAGAAGAAACUACAUUUCCUCACUGUUUUGCAAUAUACAAUGUACUAACACAUUUCCUUUCUUCAGUUACAGAGUGACUGGAAGAAAGCGGUGGAACAAUGGAUGCGUGUUGGGAAAUCUGAGGAUAACUAGUGCAACACACAAAUUUUAACGACCUCUAAAAGUGGUCUUGGCCAGCAUUCAGGGUGUGCAGAUGUUAAUGUUAGGUUUGAAGAAAAAGGUGUUAAUUACUAUUUUAGAGCUGUUCUUGUUGGAGCAUUGCUGCAUGAAAGGUUACUCCCCUCAGAUGUUACCAUUAGUAUCUCCUUUAUAGCUGAAAAGUGUGAACUAAGUGGCUAUUGUCUGGCUUUUGUAACUGUCCACUUCCAAGAAGUAAGUGUGGGUGUACUAAUGUUGAUGCUGCAGCAGAACAAACAUUCCUGUGCUACUGUUAGGCCUUGUCUACACUGCAGAGUCUUAUCCAGAAAAGGCAGCCUUUGUCAGCAAAUCUGUGGAGGUGUACACACUGCAGUGCCACUUUUGGUGGCAAAGUUAAAGCAACAAAGUGUCAGUGUAGAUGCUGCUGUUCCUUAUAUUGCCAGUACUCGCCUCCCCCAGUAUUUUUCAGUGCCCGUUGUGACUGAUCUGCUCACUAUUUAGAACUCGGCUGCCCUGCAUGCAUGUGCCCCAUCCCUUUCAAAGCUCCAGGAAGUUCUGGAAUUUCUGACAGUUGAGCUCCAGCAGCAAAGAGCAAAUCAUUAAUGUGGAAUGCUGCUGUCUCCUGUACUAGGAACAUAGAGGCAGGUGUGUGCGUAUGAGAAACUGCUGUGCAGAGCCAGGUGGGAGCUGAUGUGUGCGUGAGGAGAAGAGGGAGGGUGUCUCCCUGGCUCAGGACUGGCUGAUUCCAGCAGCUGUCAAAGCCUACGCACUCACACUCCUCCCCCCUCCCCCCCCCCACCUUCAGUUAAAAAGCAGAUGGCAAUCUAGUAGAAUGCCCAAGGAACCAUGAGCUUGAGAAACCUGCACCAUGUGAUGCUGUUCUGUGCCUACCCCAUGAUACCUUGCAAAUCCUUCGUAAAGCACCCUGUGGCCGGUUGCACAGUGGGAUAGCUAUCCACAGUGUACUGCUCUGGGUCGAUACAAGAGCAACUAGUGUGGAUGUGCUGCACUGACACAAGGAGCAUAGUGUGGACAUGCAACAGCGGUUUAAUUGAAGUGGCAUACCUUCUGUUGAUAAAACUCUGGAGUGUAGACAGCUUUAGUGAACGGUUUGCAGAAACAGUUCUGCUGAGCUGAAAAUGGAACGACAAAUCACUUACGCAAAAGCAACUGCCCACUCUGGGAGGGAGGACUUGCAGACACAAGAAAAUUUUUAUGUUUCAGGGUAUUCUGCAUAGGCAACUUAAUUUUCCGACCUUUAGAUCUUUUUUGGGGGGUAGGAGGCGGGAGAGUUCUUUCGUACUACAUGCCACAAUUUGACCUAUGAGUUAUGGUGGCAGUUUUGUAGGGAGUUGUCCACCACCUAACAUAACUGCGUUUGUCCUCUAAAGUGAAUUUUUUGGAAAUUGCAAGAGCAGAAAUAGAUUUUUCCCUUUUGGAUCAGAGGUAAUAGUCAUGAACCUAAAAUGAGAUAUAGAGGACUUCUGGGGAAUGUUCAUAUCCAUCCUUGGAGUUAUUGGUACCCUUGUACCAGCUAGCAUCUUUCAUAAAUGGUUACUUCCAGAUGCGAUCCUUCUAAGGUAGAGCUAAUUAGUUUGUAUGGAAUCUUGUCUUUUAAGUACAUCUCCAGGUUGUCUGUAUUGCAUUUGUACUCUGUAUUACGCAUGUUUAUUGCUUAUUUUGCCAAUAUAUGGAACAAGUGAAAUCCAAUUUUCAACCAUCACUAAUUCUGUAUGCUAUCCCUCAUCUUUCUCAUUGGUGAAAAUGCAUAGUCAUGGUUAAUAAACUUUACAUUGACUGAACGUGUGAUAGAUGCAAAGUGGUAUAAGUGAAGCAGCUAAGCUUCAAUUUACAAAUACGGUCAUUGAGAAUGUUCGUGCCUGUGCUUGUCCCUGACCUAGCUGUCCAGACAAAGGAUGGCUUGAAAUGAAGGUACUAACUGUGUGUGUGUGUUACUAUACAAAUUCUGAGUUCAACACUGCAUUUUAACUAGAUCUUACAGAAACAAGUGUAGCGGUAUGUUAUUCAUUCAGUUGGGGUGGGGGGACUAAUUCUAAAACUUCUAAAGGUUAAGCAAAAUAUCUACCUAGUGUUCAUCCUGUGUGCCCAAACUCCAAUGUGUAUGUUCCCUGGUGCGUAGUAUCUACCUGUUAUAAAAAUCCAGCUUCCCCCACUUCUACAGUUGAUGUAGGCAUUGUGGAUGCAAAAAAUUUUCACUUUCAACUAGGCCAGGAGAUUAGUGUGCGGGGAAGUUCUGAAUGGUGGACAUAGCUUGAGUCUACACAAUUUGUAGUAAGAGUGCUGCUGUAGAAUUUUAGGUCAUGCUUAUCAUAUUGUACAUGGGUUGUAGACUUCUAUAUUAAUAUGUAUAUUAAAGGUGCACAACUCCUGGAAUACUAACAAAAUCCAGUUUUUGCUUGGAAUAGUGCUGAUCUCUGAUGGGAGUGACUACAGUUACAUAUAAUACAAUGAACCUUUGUACUAUGUACGUUACGAGUAAUUCUCUUCUAAAUUCUGGUGCUAGUCUUAGCAUUUCAUAAUUGUUAAGCAAGUGUAAGGUUAAUGGAACUCUUGAAAUGUCUGGUUUUGAACGCAUUUCUUAACUACCAAAUAAUAUCUCAGCUUAGUUCUAUACCUGCCUCCAUUCUUGUACAUGUUUUCUGUAGUUAUGUAAAGCUGUUUAACAAAACUGACCAUAAUAUAAAAAGAGAACGUGUGGGAAUUGGGGAACAAGUUUUAAUUAACAUGAAUAGUUAUACCACACCCCUUUCAACUCACCUUGUCAGCUGACCACCAAAGUCAGCCCAAUGGACUCUUGAUUAUGUUCAGUAGCUGUGUUUUCAGUACCCAGAAUUCUGCUACCAAAGAAUCCAUAUCACUAGUUUAGGUGAGCAACUUGAGGUGUGCUGGUGGGGCUUUCUUCGCUAGAGAGGGAUGAGCACUCAUGGAAGGAUAAAGGUGGCACACUAAUCACUAAUUUUUUUCUCUGAACAGGUUAUCUUUAAAACUAAAAAAAUUCAGGGUCUGAUUUAUUUUUAAAACAUGCAGUUGAAUGCAAAUAACUAUGAAGGAAUGAUUGCUUAUUGAGGCAAUCAUGGUAAUUGUGGAUGCAAAUUACUGGUAGGCAUUGAAAAACAAACUCAUGGGGUCCACAAAAAAACCAUGGCACUGCUAUGCUCCCCCCCUU